rnacentral:rRNA from 1 species
UACGUAGGGGCUAGCGUUGUCCGGAAUCAUUGGGCGUAAAGCGCGCGUAGGCGGCCAGAUGAGUCCGGUGUGAAAGUCACAGGCUCAACCUGUGAAUGCCGCUGGAAACUGUCUGGCUUGAGUCCGGAAGGGGCGAGUGGAAUUCCUGGUGUAGCGGUGAAAUGCGCAGAUAUCAGGAGGAACACCAAUGGCGAAGGCAGCUCCGCUGGAACGGUACUGACGCUGAGGCGCGAAAGCGUGGGAGCGAACAGG